rnacentral:rRNA from 1 species
UUAUCGGAGAGUUUGAUCCUGGCUCAGGACGAACGCUGGCGGCGUGCCUAAUACAUGCAAGUCGAGCGGACAGAUGGGAGCUUGCUCCCUGAUGUUAGCGGCGGACGGGUGAGUAACACGUGGGUAACCUGCCUGUAAGACUGGGAUAACUCCGGGAAACCGGGGCUAAUACCGGAUGUUUGUUUGAACCGCAUGGUUCAGACAUAAAAGGUGGCUUCGGCUACCACUUACAGAUGGACCCGCGGCGCAUUAGCUAGUUGGUGAGGUAACG